ensembl:lncRNA
GGCCAAGAUAAAGCAAAGCAGUUCGACAGAUACAACGACACAGAGUUACACAUGGAGUAAAACAAACAUACAGUCAAUGAUACAGUAUAAACAAGUCUAUAUACGAUGUGAGCAAAUUAGGUGAGAAGGGAGGUAAAGGCAAAAAAGGCCAUGGUGGCAAAGUAAAUACAAUAUAUCAAGUAAAACACUGGAAUGGUAGUUUUGCAAUGGAAGAAUGUGCAAAGUAGAAAUAAAAAUAAUGGGGUGCAAAGGAGCAAAAAAAAUAAAUAAAUAAAAAUGAAAUACAGUUGGGAAAGAGGUAGUUGUUUGGGCUAAACUAUAGGUGGGCUAUGUACAGGUGCAGUAAUAACUCAUCUCCAGUGCCAGUAUGUGAAGUGAUUUCUUUCAGUGUGCAGAGGGCUUAGGUUUCCUUUCACAGGGACACUGUGAAAGUAAUUAAUGUAAAGGGAGGGGAUGGUUCCUCCACCACGCCAUGGUUCCAUGGUUCCAACUCAUGUCAAACCUGAUGUUUUCAACCGUAAUCACCAGAUGUGCAAGAACAAGUGCUCCAGUACCUUUCUCUUUACUCUCUUUCUCUUUGCUCUCUUUCUCGCUCUCCCUCAGUUUUUUCUCAGGUCUCUUUCUCUCUCAGGGCUUCCUCGGGUCUCUCUUUCUCUCUCAGGUCUCUCUCUCUCUCUCAGGGCUUCCUCAGGCCUCUCUCUCUCUCUCUCAGGGCUUCCUCAGGUCUCUCUCUCUCUCUCUCAGGGCUUCCUCAGGUCUCUCUCAGGGCUUCCUCAGGUCUCUCUCUCUCUCUCUCUCUCUCAGGGCUUCCUCAGGUCUCUCUCUCUCUCUCAGGGCUUCCUCAGGUCUCUCUCUCUCUCUCUCUCUCAGGGCUUCCUCAGGUCUCUCUCUCUCUCUCUCUCAGGGCUUCCUCAGGUCUCUCUCUCUCUCUCUCUCUCUCAGGGCUUCCUCAGGUCUCUCUCUCUCUCUCAGGGCUUCCUUAGGUCUCUCUCUCUCAGGGCUUCCUCAGGUCUCUCUCUCUCUCUCUCUCUCUCUCUCUCUCUCUCUCUCAGGGCUUCCUCAGGUCUCUCUCUCUCUCUCUCAGGGCUUCCUCAGGUCUCUCUCUCUCUCUCAGGGCUUCCUCAGGUCUCUCUCUCUCUCUCUCUCUCUCUCUCAGGGCUUCCUCAGGUCUCUCUCUCAGGGCUUCCUCAGGUCUCUCUCUCAGGGCUUCCUCAGGUCUCUCUCUCUCUCUCUCAGGGCUUCCUCAGGUCUCUCUCUCUCUCUCAGGGCUUCCUCAGGUCUCUCUCUCUCUCUCUCUCAGGGCUUCCUCAGGUCUCUCUCUCUCUCUCAGGGCUUCCUCAGGUCUCUCUCUCUCUCUCAAGGCUUCCUCAGG